rnacentral:rRNA from 1 species
CCUACGGGAGUCAGCAGUGGGGAAUAUUGCACAAUGGGGGGAACCCUGAUGCAGCGACGCCGCGUGAGUGAAGAAGUAUUUCGGUAUGUAAAGCUCUAUCAGCAGGGAAGACAGUGACGGUACCUGACCAAGAAGCCCCGGCUAACUACGUGCCAGCAGCCGCGGUAAUACGUAGGGGGCAAGCGUUAUACGGAUUUACUGGGUGUGAAGGGAGCGUAGACGGCAGUGCAAGUCUGAAGUGAAAGCCCGGGGCCCAACGCCGGGAAUGCUUUGGAAACUGCGUGGCUCGAGUGCUGGAGAGGUAAGCGGAAGUCCUAGUGUAGCGGUGAAAUGCGUAGAUAUUAGGAGGAACACCAGUGGCGAAGGCGGCUUACUGGACAGGAACUGACGUUGAGGCACGAAAGCGUGGGGAGCAAACAGGAUUAGAUACCCGAGUAGUC